GUGAGCAUCCGGUCUUUUAGGAACUUCAUUCCUGCAGCUCGCUAUGGAGACCAGGCUGACCUCAAACUCGUGUAGCCGAGUUAUCUUUGAAUUCUAAACCCUCCCUCCUCGACCUUCCAAAUGUCAGGAUUGCAGGCAGGUGCCACGACCCAUCUCAAUGUUUGUAAGACUAAAGAGAGUUAAAUGUCAGUGCACGGGCAGUUUGCCGAGCUAUUCGCUAGGGUUUACUUCGUACCUGGGUUGAAGUGUACUACGUAUCAGUGCUGCACAAUAAACUAGGAAGGUAGGGUAUUCUUCAGUCUCAUAGGAGUCCAAGGUCGCUUUUUGCUAUGUAACUGAUACUCCUCCUUCACUCCCCUCACCAGCUGCGUACCCACAGACACAUUUUUACAUAUAGUUGUCAGGAAGAUCACAUCUAAACCAAGUCAUGAAUUCAGUGCCCUAUACCUUGGGGUUUUUGUUUUGUUUUGUUUUGUUUGUAUCGCUCCAGAGACUUGAUGCCAUUAUCUAACUUAAUGGUUUCUAACUAGGUGAUCUAUGUAUUUUGGCUAGGAUAUAAUCAUAUCUCUGUAAGGUGUCAGACAGUUGAGUCGUUCGACUGGAGAUAAACAUAUUUGUCCCCAGUCGCAGUGAUUUGCAAGUCAUUGAUCCAUUAUAAUUAUAUUUGGGUACUGUAAACAAAAAAAGGAGAUAAUCCUUACAAGUUAGUAGUUAAAGCAGCUAUGUGAAUCUGGAUAUUUGUAACAGGCUGGAGACAGGAGAUGCAGAGGCAAAAGAAUAAUGAAGGAAAAUGAGUCUGAGCAGUAUUGUUACUGACACCCGUUCUGGCGUGGAAACAUUAUUUCCCAUGCCAGAGCUCCUCCCCUAUCCUCACCUAGUCGAUUUCCCUUAUUUCUUGUCUCAAGGACCCAUGCCUCACAAGCACCAAUCACUGAAUCAAAACUCCAGGCACCCCUUCUGCUUAAUCUUCAUCUUUUCUGUUCCUACCCCAGGGACUCACUCUCUCAUGUGAUUCCUGUGACAGUCUCCAAAUGGAAGUCUGAGUUGCCGUCAUUUCAGAAUCCAUCCUUGGCUCCAAGGCCCUCACUCAAACUGGCUGCUAGGAUAGGCUUUUAGAUCUGACUGUAGCACUUAACUUUCUUAUGUACAGGCCUCUUUAUCCUCUAGACAAAAACCAUAUAACUUUAGCACAUUAAGUCCUUAAUAACUCAGGCUUAUCCCUCUUUUGUUCAGUUCUCUACAACAACUAACAACAAAUCUUUGUGCCUCUGCCAGAGACAAAUUCUGUUUCCUAGGGUAUUCUGGUCUCUGAACUCAAGCUUUUGUUUCCAUUGUUUCCAUUGUUGCCUAGCUCCUGACCUGGUGAUGAUCCAUUUUGCCUCAGUUCGAGUUCUAACUCAAAUAAGGCAGCUGUUGUACUUUCCUUCCCUUUGCCCACCCUCUGUAUUUUGUGUAUGUGUCUCUGAGGACUUUGACCUACUUCUCAUAAUGAUUACUGAGUUCAAAUAUGAAGGAGUCGGACAAGUGGACGGACCACCAUUUGGCUUCCAACCACCAAAUUCAAAUGUAAUCUCAUUGAUUGCUUUCUUCCUGAAAUUCUCCCCCUGGUUUCUAAAAUGUCUCCAUCCCUCUUACUUCCUCCUAAACUCUGGUUGUCUCUUUGACAGUUGUCUUGUUUUAUCAAAUGCUUUGUGAUGCUACUAACUGGUUUUCAAAAUUGUGUCGUGUAGUCAAAUCCCCAUGGAGAUACAUUUUUAAUGUGUCCCAGGAGUCAUCAUGAGUAGCCAUGAUUGAACCAGGAUCUCCUGUUCCAUUCUUUUACGUUGAGUUUUUUCCUGAGUUGCCAUCUCCCUUAUGAAAUGUCUCCUUGCUUUCCAUUUUGAUGCCUGUGUGAGUCAUUACUUUCAAUUGCAGAUGACAGACUCUGCAUUUUCAUAUCAUGCUUUCCAUCUGGAACCCUUCCGUGCCUCCUUACAGUCCCUAGAAUGAAGCUGACGGUCCAUAACAUUGUUUUAAUGGCCUUCAGAAACAUGCUAUCUCUGCAGACUGACUCUCUUCAGGUCUCUGCACUCCCUUUCAGUUUCCACUUUUGUCAGUCCCAAAACAACAGCUGCAUUCCCUCCUCCCCCAAGGUCUAGACACACAUUGCUCCUCCUGUAUGGGCCUUACCUUUUUUUUCCCAGUUCUCCCUCCUAUAGUUCUAGUAACUUCUAUUUACCCUUUCAUUUUUGGUUGACCUUGGCUCAUUUUUAGUUUUCCCCAUCCUGCUGAUCCAGUUCCGUGUUACCACGAGUCUUAGUCACCCAGGACCUGUUGGUUGCCUUUUAUACUCUAAUUCUGGAGGAUGGAGAUUAGAAGGACCAAGAAGACAACUAGUUCCUGUUCCUGUGGAGACCCCAGCCUAGUAGGGAAAAAGAUAUUUUGUCUUCCCAGCUGGAUAUAAGCUGCCAGUGUGCAGUUAUCAGCGCCAUCAAGGAUUAAGCAGCAGAUGAGCGUCAACAGCCGGUGGCAAGAAAGAGAUGAGAAUGCUGAAGGACAUCCAUGCCCAAUUUUCACAAGAAGUGGGGAGAGGAGAAAACCAUAGCAUGUGCAAAGUGUCAAAGACUUGAGAAGGCCCAGAGCAAGACUCACAGAAGCCACUCUAAGGGAUAUCGAGGGAUGGCAUCCUGACAGUGUGGCUGGGCUCAGAUCCCUUCCAGGACACCCUUUAGAGCCACUGCAGAGCGAAGGACCAGAUAUUGAUCCUCUUCUACAGACACAGCUAGCAUAUCCAUGCUCAUGAAAAUUUGAUCCCCAAAGAUGGUUGCUUUGCAAAGUCUGAAUAAAGGGAAAUGGGUUUUAUAGACUAUUUUGCUUACUGAAAUGACUUCUUAAAUGUUAAGUAAAUACCAAUUUAGCAUUACACAUAUAGCCCUAAAAAGGCUGACAAAGAUGUCCCAAAUAGUGGGCUUCUUGUCUUUCAUUGUGAGAAGUGGGAUCCUGCUAGCAGAGUGGCAUUCCCUUGGCCCUUAGUACUCAUCUCUUUGAUUCUGCCUCUGGACACUGGGUCUCCCCCCUCUCUUACCAGAGGCCCUACCCAUCACUUAGCAUGAGCUGUUAUUUUUACGCAUACUCUUUGUGCAUACCAUAGAGAAAGAAACCGAUGAUUACUAUAAUUCUCCCAUCUCUGAGGUUCUCUUCUUUUUUUGCUCUCCCCAAACCUCAAACUUGAUAAUACUCAACUGUAACACACUUGUCUUCUUAAAUUAUCAGCCUGCUUCAGUUCCCACUGUAUCAUUUGCCUAACUGCUGCUACGCUGUUCAUUUUUGUUUAUGCCUAACACUUGGAUUCUGCCUUGGUACCAGCACAUUGAGAUAGUAGUAGAGAAGGUCAGUUGAAAAGCUUUAGCAACAGUUGCUUAUGGAAUUAGCAGUGAGAAAGACUUGUUUUGUAAACUUGGGAGGGGGGAACUCUCAAAGGCUGAGAAACGAAGGCCCCUUCCAAAACAUCUCUUCCUCAACCCUCAUCAGACACCCCUGCUCCUUCUCUUCUGUAGCUGAGCCAAGAUACUUGAUUGCUGCGCAGCGGCUCGCCGACUCCAGCUGACCACACCAACUGACCAUGCUAGCCCUGUCUACAGGGCUCUUGUGGACUGAGCUCCACCCUAGCCUGGAUCCACUGGAUCUACCAUUGCCUUAGCUCUUUAGAUCCCAGUUCCUGGACUUAUGUGACUUCCUCCCUCAUCCCACACUCACUUUGACAAUCCCCAGCCCUACCAUGGGACUCCUUUGCAAAUUUAUGUUAGUGUCCUCUGGCUGCCCACACGACAUCUCUGAACCCCUGAGGAGGAAUGCACAUGGUUGGUGUGAGCUGCAUGGCUUUCGGACUCUAUUCUGACAGGAGCAGAUGUCCAGAGCUUUCUCCCUUCGUGCUGCACAGCCCUGCACAGAUGCAGUUUGGGUGCUUGCCUUCUGGUUUUCCUUUUCUGCCUUCAAAGACUGGAUUUAGACAGUCCCCUCAGCACACACAUGUUAACAGAAUUUAUGCCUUUAAAAUAUUGUGGGCUAAAAGUGGUAAGCGACCAUCAGUGCUAGAAGUGUGUCUAAUGUCCAUGAAUAAAGCCCUUCUGAGGACCAGG